UACGGGGGAUGCGAGCGUUAUCCGGAUUUAUUGGGUUUAAAGGGUGCGUAGGCGGCGCUUCAGGUCAGCGGUAAAAAUUCGGGGCUCAACCCCGUCCGGCCGUUGAAACUGGGGAUCUAGAGUGUGCGAGAGGUAUGCGGAAUGCGUGGUGUAGCGGUGAAAUGCAUAGAUAUCACGCAGAACCCCGAUUGCGAAGGCAGCAUACCGGCGCCCAACUGACGCUGAGGCACGAAAGCGUGGGGAUCGAACAGG
rnacentral:rRNA from 1 species